GUGCUUGUCUUGGCAGCAUAUAUAAUAAAGUUGGAACAAUGCAGAAAAAUUAGCAUAUCCCCUGUGGAAGGAUGGCUUGUGGGUCCGUGGAGUAUUUUAUAUAUUU
ensembl:snRNA U6 U6 spliceosomal RNA